UACGGAGGAUCCGAGCGUUAUCCGGAUUUAUUGGGUUUAAAGGGUGCGUAGGCUGGUUUUUAAGUCAGCUGUGAAAUACCGACGCUUACCGUCGGCACUGCAGUUGAAACUGGGAACCUUGAGAGUGCAAGAGGCAUGCGGAAUUCAUGGUGUAGCGGUGAAAUGCAUAGAUAUCAUGAAGAACCCCGAUUGCGAAAGCAGCAUGCUGGGGCAUAUCUGACGCUGAGUCACGAAAGUGCGGGUAUCAAACAGGAUUAGAUACCCUGGUAGUCCGCACAGUAAACGAUGAAUACCAGCUGUUGGCGAUAUACAGUCAGCGGCGUAAGCGAAAGCGUUAAGUAUUCCACCUGGGGAGUACGCCGGCAACGGUGAA
rnacentral:rRNA from 1 species